rnacentral:miRNA from 1 species
UAUUAGGCUGGUGCAAAAGUAAUUGCAGUUUUUGCUAUUUUUAUGGCAAAAACUGCAAUUACUUUUGCACCAGCCUAAUAUU